UACGGAAGGCAGCAGUGGGGAAUAUUGCACAAUGGGCGCAAGCCUGAUGCAGCCAUGCCGCGUGUAUGAAGAAGGCCUUCGGGUUGUAAAGUACUUUCAGUCGUGAGGAAGGUGUUAAGGUUAAUAACCUUAGCAAUUGACGUUAGCGACAGAAGAAGCACCGGCUAACUCCGUGCCAGCAGCCGCGGUAAUACGGAGGGUGCGAGCGUUAAUCGGAAUUACUGGGCGUAAAGGGCACGCAGGCGGUUAAUUAAGUUGGAUGUGAAAUCCCCGGGCUUAACCUGGGAAUGGCAUUCAAGACUGGUUAGCUAGAGUCUUGUAGAGGGGGUAGAAUUCCAGUGUGUAGCGGUGAAAUGCGUAGAGAUGUGGAGGAAUACCGGUGGCGAAGGCGGCCCCUGGACAAAGGCUGACGCUCAUGUGCGAAAGCGUGGGGAGCAAACAGGGAUUAGAUA
rnacentral:rRNA from 1 species